rnacentral:lncRNA from 1 species
AUUCUUAUCUAAGUUUGACACCUAUGUCAAGGAGAAUCUGAUUUAAAGCUUCCGAGGUAUUGUGAGGUAUCGCAGGGAACUCAAUGGAGAUCAGAGAUCCACCAAAUCCAGGGACAAGAGCAGGGGCAGCUAUUCUCUGUCUGGGUCCUGCUCUCUUACAGUCAUUCUUGCUGUGUCUUACUUUCUCUGGUAAAAUUUGGAUAAUUGACAGGGUAAUUGUCCUAAAGAACAGAGAUGAAAGGUUAAGAAUAAUUCCUAAGUCAUCCUGGCAACGACAGUCAAGUAGAUCAACUUUUUUCCGGAUUCCUAAAAUGAGACCUCUGCUAUUGACCCACUAAGCAUUUGGGUAUUCCUUCCUCUGGAAUUCUUCUUGAUUCAAAUAAUGAGAAAGGAUUCCUUACAUUUCUGAGUACCAUUAUCUGUCACUACUGUGCUGUUUUUUACCAUCUUCACAACUUGUUCAUAUCAGUCAUGCAAUUUAUUAGGAGGAAUUUACUGGAAGAAUGUGGUUGCUUCAUUAAUUCAGAAUUCAUUUAUUUGAAUGUGGCCAAUGCGAGUUAAUGUUACUGCUUUCCUGAAAAGUAAUUAAAAACAAUUCAGCGACUGUAGCUUUGAAAACACUUUAAAAUAUACAUUCUUAGUCGUUUGGUAAAGUAUCUUUAGAAAAUUGGGCACUUUCAUUUCCAGUUGCUUUUUUUUUUUUUUUUUUUUUUUUUUUUUGAGUAAUUUUAGCCAGUUCCAGCUGGACUUGCCAUAGUCUUCAAGGGCAAGUUGAUGUCAUGCUGAACCGUAUGUGUUAUGCUGAUAAUCAGCAUCAUUGGACCUGAAAUACUGCCAUCUUUCUUUUGUGUGAUUGACCUUGUUAUUUUAAAGGUGGCAGGGACAGGGGGAGGAAUUUGGCAAAGCAUUGAGAAAUCAGAACACUUCAUAGCUCAGCAGUUCAUUCUAGACAUUAAGGUCAGACCAGGUGCCAAAUAAUCUGACAAAUUUGGAAUGAGCAGCAGGACAGCUACCUAAAGAACGUCAGAAGUUCACAAUGUCACCAUAGCAGCACAAAAAUAGGAUAGCUAACUAGCAAUCCUUUUCAUCAUUUGGUUAAUAUUGUUUGCAGAAACAAUGAACUCUUCCUGUUUAUUUUCUGAAGAGGCUGUAUGGAUGUAGAACAUGUCAAUAAAAAUGGAUUCUUACAUAGUCUGGGAAUAGUU